AACGGCGAGUGAAGCGGCAACAGCUCAAAUUUGAAAUCUGGCGUCUUCGGCGUCCGAGUUGUAAUUUGCAGAGGGCGCUUUGGCAUUGGCAGCGGUCCAAGUUCCUUGGAACAGGACGUCACAGAGGGUGAGAAUCCCGUACGUGGUCGCUAGCCUUUACCGUGUAAAGCCCCUUCGACGAGUCGAGUUGUUUGGGAAUGCAGCUCUAAAUGGGAGGUAAAUUUCUUCUAAAGCUAAAUACUGGCCAGAGACCGAUAGCGCACAAGUAGAGUGAUCGAAAGAUGAAAAGCACUUUGGAAAGAGAGUUAAAAAGCACGUGAAAUUGUUGAAAGGGAAGCGCUUGCAGCCAGACUUGCCUGUAGUUGCUCAUCCGGGUUUCUACCCGGUGCACUCUUCUAUAGGCAGGCCAGCAUCAGUUUGGGCGGUUGGAUAAAGGUCUCUGUCAUGUACCUCCUUUCGGGGAGAACUUAUAGGGGAGACGACAUGCAACCAGCCCGGACUGAGGUCCGCGCAUCUGCUAGGAUGCUGGCGUAAUGGCUGUAAGCGGCCCGUCUUGAAACACGGACCAAGGAGUCUAACAUCUAUGCGAGUGUUUGGGUGUCAAGCCCGAACGCGUAAUGAAAGUGAACGGAGGUGGGAACCUUUCGGGGUGCACCAUCGACCGAUCCUGAUGUCUUCUGAUGGAUUUGAGUAAGAGCAUAGCUGUUGGGACCCGAAAGAUGGUGAACUAUGCUUGAAUAGGGUGAAGCCAGAGGAAACUCUGGUGGAGGCUCGCAGCGGUUCUGACGUGCAAAUCGAUCGUCAAAUUUGGGCAUAGGGGCGAAAG
rnacentral:rRNA from 2 species